UUGAUUACGCCUCGGGGUUCGUGCCAGGAGUGCGUUUGCAAAGAGGCCGACAUGUUUGCGUUAUUGCAAUGUUAACACUGUAAAUGCACUAUCUGGUACGACAUCCCGGGGCGUGUAGCAAC
rnacentral:pre_miRNA from 9 species